rnacentral:lncRNA from 1 species
UGGGGUCACAAAGAGUCAGACACGACUGAGCGACUUUCACUUCACUUCAUAAAAAUGUGAAAAUGAGGGGAUUUUCAAGGUGGAUGAACCCUUGCCAAAACAGAGCCAGGAACACAAGCCAGAGAGGCUGACGGUCGCCCCGUCCUAAGGGAAGGACCUCGAGACCCCGGGGAGGCGACUGUCUCACGCCAGGGCUCUGGUCCGGCCACCACGUUCAUCUCAUUUCGGUCAGGAUCCUAUUUGGCCAGCACCCUGUGAUCACGACCGUCUGUCGGAGGGAUGGGGACGUGGCCCAAGGAUCCGCUGCUCCCAGGGGAUGGGGGCCUGCACCCCAGAGCAAGGGUCCAGGCCGGCUGCCUCUCCCCCGAGCUGGCUCCGUCACCACUGCCUCCUGGUCUCCCCUGGGGCGAGGGGGCAGCCCCCUGGGGCGCAUUUCGGGUGGGCUACAGAGAUCGCUGUCACUGCCAGGAUUCUGACAGGAUGUCCACGGUGUGUCUAAUAUGUACAGAUAUAAAUUAAAAACUAUACUUACUGAACAUAUACAAAUAAAUAACUUAUUUUGAAGCAAAUGCCUUAACUUUCUGAUUGAAUCUAAGAUGUCGAGGGAAACGCAUGACAUCACACAGCCUGACGCUGGUGGCUUUGACCCCCACGGCGCCCGUUUUACGUGGCUGCGGGGAACGAGACAGGGUUGAAUCCUCCGUUCUCUUUAAAAGGCUUAUGGUUGUGAAAGUGAAUUUAAAAACGUGGGUUUUUUUAGGCAGGAAAUACGUACACCAGGAGUCUGAAGACCAGGGCCCAAAUCCUGCCUCUGGUACCAAUCGCUGUCCUCGGGUGCCACCCACAGAGAUGGUCGCGGCGACUGCUGCCAACCGGCCCACAGCUGGUUGACUCCGCCCACCUGCGCCAGGCUAAGAUCACCUUCUCCCUUCUCAGUCAGUAAUGAUCGGAGCCUGACUGUCCUCUUGGACAAAGCCGGCUACCAAUCAGAGGAGCCGGACAGCCACGAUGGAGAACGCUCACUUGACCGCAAGGCAGCGGGAAUCUAUAGUGGCUCACAGUUUAUGGGAACUCAGCUUCAUAUGACGUCAUGUGGUCCAGCCUCCUGCGUGGAUGGGAGAACAGGGGGAGCAGCGCUGGGGAGAUGGGCUCCGCACUUCCUGCCUGGAUUUCCUGGGGUCGGGGCCACAGGUAUGGGCGAGACGCGCCCCCACCCGCCGUAUCAACUACGGAGGAUGAACCUGAGUGUUGGGAGCCAGGUGGCAGCUCGCAGACCAGACAGCCGGCU